CGAUUCACUCUCAUCCUCUGUCAUCUUCUGAGGGUAAACAUUUUCCUCUCUUUUUCUUAUAUUUUUCUUUAUAUGUCAUAAAAAUUACAUCUUUCACAUAUAUUUUGUUUGAUUGUGUACCGUGUACUUUUUUCUUUGAAAUAGUUUGCAUGCAUAAUGUAAAAUUUAUUAUUACUCACUAAUAUCAUAAAAAUCACAAAUUUCACACAUACUUUGAUCAUGUAUCGUAGAUCUUUUUUCUGAGAAAGGCUUUUCAUUCAUAUGGUUUCUGUGGCUCCAUUCAAGGUCAAGAUGUUCCGAAGGCAUUUGCUUUGGAAGAUUGUUGUUUCAUAUGUUCAACUUUGUUUUUUUUAA